rnacentral:rRNA from 1 species
GAAAGAUUCAUCGGAAGAGGAUGGGCACGCGGCGCAUUAGCUAGACGGCGGGGUAACGGCCCACCGUGGCGACGAUGCGUAGGGGUUCUGAGAGGAAGGUCCCCCACACUGGUACUGAGACACGGACCAGACUCCUACGGGAGGCAGCAGUGAGGAAUAUUGGUCAAUGGGAGAGAUCCUGAACCAGCCAAGCCGCGUGAGGGAAGACGGCCCUAUGGGUUGUAAACCUCUUUUGUCGGAGAACAAAACCCGGGACGUGUCCCGGACUGCGUGUAUCCGAAGAAAAAGCAUCGGCUAACUCCGUGCCAGCAGCCGCGGUAAUACGGAGGAUGCGAGCGUUAUCCGGAUUUAUUGGGUUUAAAGGGUGCGUAGGCGGUCCGUUAAGUCAGCGGUAAAAUUGCGGGGCUCAACCCCGUCGAGCCGUUGAAACUGGCAGACUUGAGUUGGCGAGAAGUACGCGGAAUGCGCGGUGUAGCGGUGAAAUGCAUAGAUAUCGCGCAGAACUCCGAUUGCGAAGGCAGCGUACCGGCGCCAGACUGACGCUGAGGCACGAAAGCGUGGGGAUCGAACAGGAUUAGAUACCCUGGUAGUCCACGCAGUAAACGAUGAAUGCUGGUUGUCCGGGUCGAAUGAGAUCUGG